AUUAAUAGACCGUGAAGCCUCUUGUGAGGUUUCGGCUUGUGGAUGAUCUCCCGCUGCGCUAACCAAGUCUUUGACACCGGUCUUAACAAAGUGUAGUUAGCCAACUGUCAGUAACUAUCGGCUCCCUGACAAAAAAACACACCGGCCCCUCCUUCGCGUAAGAUCGGACUUGGUGGAUCUGUGAUGCGCUGUGAUCUGAAGUUCAGAGCUCUCCUCGCUCCUUUGUUUACUCCGCACCGACACGCUGGUUCUCGCCAAUCAGAGGCCCAUGUUCCAGUCUGACAUCACACACUUGUCCAAUAGCGCAUGGAGACUCAAAGCAUCUUCUCAAAGCCGUUACACACUUUCCAAAUCUCAGCUGUUUGAUACUGUUAAUGAUGGACUUUCAAGCGUGAGGGGGAUAACAAGGAGAUCUGUUCAAGUAAUGAUAUGGAAGUGAACCGUGACAAUGUCGAGCGCACGAGAAGGAACACCAUUUUUCAGGGUCCCGUGUGGCACUUAGCCUAAUACAGGCUACCCGUGUUGUCAUCUGAUGCUAAUGAGACAUGUCGUUCAACGGAAGAGAUGGAUGAAAAUGACUCGCCGAGCUCACAGGCACCUGACUGGCAAAGGUUUUCGGGGGAAAGGUCAAUCCAAGACGUAACUGAACAUUCCUAAGAUCCUAGCUGCUUCCAGUUUCCAGUGCCAAAGCUGAAAUUAAAGUCUGCCAUCGAGAGAAAUCCAAUUAAUGAAGCCCAUUCACAACAGUCUUUUUGAGAAUGUUCCUCUCUAUCAUUGUGCUAUCCAAUAAUGAGUGCAGGUUGAGUGCGAGGUCUAGGGGUGGGUUGGGUCAUGGUGAUUGGUUGGAGCAAAGCAGAGAUUAAAGGUAUACAGCCUCAAAUGCAAUCUGUCACUGCAGUUAUCGCAGCCUUCUCCACAAUGGGGAUGACCUUCACCAAAUCAGAAUGGAUCUGUUUGAGUGGCUGACACGCACACGCACACGCGCACGCAAACACACGCAGGCACACACACACACACACACAUACAGUAUAUAACACCUGAGUAUCUGAACACAGAACAAGUGAAACAGCAAGUGGAAACAAGUGGGGAAAUCACAGAGUUUUCAUGUAUGAA